GAAAUCCGUCGACUUUAGAAAUCGUGAGG
rnacentral:tRNA from 1 species